AUUGAACGCUGGCGGCAGGCCUAACACAUGCAAGUCGAGCGAGCGGCGGACGGGUGUGUAAUGUCUGGGAAACUGCCUGAUGUAGGGGGAUAUCUACUGGAAACGGUAGCUAAUAUCGCACACCAUCAGAUGUGCCCAGAUGGGAUUAGCUAGUAGGUGGGGUAACGGCUCACCUGGGCGACGAGCCCUAGCUGGUCUGAGAGGAUGACCAGCCACACGGGAACUGAGACACGGUCCAGAGUCCUACUUAGUACACCAGUUUAUAAUAUGGCACAAUGGGCGCAAGCCUGAGCCAGCCAUGCCGCGUGUGUGAAGAAGGCAUUCGGGUUGUAAAGCACUUUCAGCGGGGAGGCGUUGCCCGCAGAAGAAGCACCGGCUAACUCCGUGCCAGCAGCCGCGGUAAUAC
rnacentral:rRNA from 1 species